GUGAAAUAGAUCCUGAAACCGCAUGCAUACAAACAGUGGGAGCCUCCUUGUGGGGUGACUGCGUACCUUUUGUAUAAUGGGUCAGCGACUUACGUUCAGUAGCAAGCUUAACCGGAUAGGGGAGGCGUAGCGAAAGCGAGUCUGAUAAGGGCGACAUAGUUGCUGGGCGUAGACCCGAAACCAAGUGAUCUAUCCAUGGCCAGGAUGAAGGUGCGGUAACACGCACUGGAGGUCCGAACCCACUAAUGUUUGAAAAAUUAGGGGAUGAGCUGUGGAUAGGGGUGAAAGGCUAAACAAACUUGGAAAUAGCUGGUUCUCCCCGAAAACUAUUUAGGUAGUGCCUCGUGCGGACACUUCCGGGGGUAGAGCACUGUAAUCGUUGGGGGGGGUCAUUGCGAUCUACCCCGCGAUAGCAAACUCCGAAUACCGGAAAGUGAUACACGGGAGACAGACGGUGGGUGCUAACGUCCAUCGUCAAGAGGGAAACAACCCAGACCGCCAGCUAAGGUCCCAAAUCCAUGGCUAAGUGGAAAACGAGGUGGGAAGGCAUA
rnacentral:rRNA from 1 species